AAGUGUAUACUAGAAGGGUAUCAAGUGUAUUAAGUGUAUAUCAGGAGUUAGUAAUGUAUCAAGUGUAUUAAGGUAGGGUUGACCCGCUCCAUUCGAGUCGAGGAUUCCCCGGUUUGAUUAGGGAUGGGGUCAAAUCAGGGAAUUUAUUUGGGGCCGAGGACGGGGACAGUAUCUCCGCCCUGACCCCGAUCCCAAUUAAUCCUCGACUCCAAAUUUAUAUAUAUAUUUUUAUAAAAUAUAUAUAUAAAUUUUACAAAUUAUUAUAAUAUACAUAAAAACCCAAAAUGAAAAGGCCCAAAUCCCUAAAUCCCUAAACUUAUUACUGCUACCGAAGAAAAAAUCCUAAAUUCACCACUCUCCAGCCUACUGCUCGACGUGCUCGUGCUCUGCCUCCAUCCGCUCCACUGCUCCACCCUACUGAAGUUGAACUUUGAAGUUGAAAAAUCCCAACCUCCGUUGAACUUUGAAGUCCCAGCGGCAGCCUCCGUUGAAGUCUGAAGAUGGGACACGUUGAAAAGUCCCAUCCCAGCCUCCGUUGAAAAAUCCCAGCAGCCAGCCUCCGUUGAACUUUGAAGUCCCAGGCUCCAGCCUCCGUUGAGGACGGGACGCAUUGAAAAAUCCCUAAAUUCAGCCUACUAAAUCGAAAUCCCAGCCUCCGUCCAGCCUUCGCGAGUCUGCGUCCGUCUAUCCAGCGACGUUUCAGGAAUGAAUGCAACUAAGGAUGGGAUGAUACCAAGAAAGGUGAAAGAUUUGAUUGUGAAGUCGUUGAAGAGAGAAUGACGAGUUUUAUUGAAUUUUAAGUUGUAUAAUUAUUUGAAUGUAUAAAACGUUUGCCUUUAAUUGACUUCCUUAUUCAAACUUUAUUGAAUUUUAAGUUGUAAAGUUAUUUAAUGGAUUGGUUAGCUUUUAAAUUGUCAA